rnacentral:rRNA from 1 species
CAGCCGCCGCGGUAAUACGUAAGGAGCGAGCGUUGUCCGGAUUCACUGGGCGUAAAGCGCUCGUAGGCGGCUCCUUAAGUCUCACGUGAAAGCCCCCGGCUCAACCGGGGAGGGUCGUGGGAAACUGGGGAGCUUGAGGGCAGGAGAGGAGAGUGGAAUUCCCGGUGUAGCGGUGAAAUGCGUAGACAUCGGGAGGAACACCAGUGGCGAAGGCGGCUCUCUGGUCUGUCCCUGACGCUGAGGAGCGAAAGCCAGGGGAGCGAACCGGAUUAGAUACCCGGGUAGUCCGGGCUGUAAACGAUGGGUACUAGGUGUGGGAGGGUCGACCCCUUCCGUGCCGCAGCUAACGCAUUAAGUACCCCGCCUGGGGAGUACGGCCGCAAGGUUGAAACUUAAAGGAAUUGGCGGG